UUCCGGUUGAUCCUGCCGGACCUGACUGCUAUCGGAACGAGACUAAGCCAUGCGAGUCUGCCAGGCAGAGCACGUUGUCUGGCGGCGAACGGCUCAGUAACACGUAGUCAACCUGCCCUCGGGACGAGAACAAUCUCGGGAAACUGAGGCUAAUUCUCGAUAGAUCAAGAUUCCUGGAACGGGUUUUGGUCUAAAUGAAGUGGCAGCAUCUUGCUAUUUUCGCCCGAGGAUGGGACUGCGGCCGAUUAGGCUGUUGGUGGGGUAAAGGCCCACCAAACCAGUAACCGGUACGGGCUUUGAGAGAAGGAGCCCGGAGAUGGACACUGAGACAAGGGUCCAGGUCCUACGGGGCGCAGCAGGCGCGAAACCUUCGCAAUGCGCGCAAGCGCGACGAGGUUAUUCCGAGUGAUUUCCGCUGAGGGAAUCUUUUCUUAGAUUUAAAAUGUCUGGGGAAUAAGGGGAGGGCAAGUCUGGUGUCAGCCGCCGCGGUAAUACCAGCUCCUCGAGUGGUCAGGGCGUUUAUUGGGCCUAAAGCAUCCGUAGCCGGCUCAGUAGGUCUUCUGUUAAAUCCAGCGGCUCAACCGUUGGUCUGCAGGAGAUACCGCUGGGCUAGGAGGCGGGAGAGGCGGACGGUACUCCGAGGGUAGGGGUAAAAUCCUUUGAUCCCCGGAAGACCACCAGUGGCGAAGGCGGUCCGCCAGAACGCGCUCGACGGUGAGGGAUGAAAGCUGGGGGAGCGAACCGGAUUAGAUACCCGGGUAGUCCCAGCCGUAAGCGAUGCGAGCUAGGUGACACAACGCCUUCGGGGCGUUGUGGUGCCGCAGGGAAGCCGUUAAGCUCGCCGCCUGGGGAGUACGGACGCAAGUCUGAAACUUAAAGGAAUUGGCGGGGGAGCACCACAAGGGGUGAAGCCUGCGGUUCAAUUGGAUCAACGCCGG
rnacentral:rRNA from 1 species